rnacentral:rRNA from 1 species
CCCUUAGAUGUUCUGGGCUGCACGCGCGCUACACUGAAGCGUUCAACGAGUAUUCACCUUGCCCGGGAGGGUUGGGUAAUCUUUUCAAAACGCUUCGUGAUGGGGAUAGAUUAUUGCAAUUAUUAAUCUUCAACGAGGAAUUCCUAGUAAGCGCGAGUCAUCAGCUCGUGCUGAUUACGUCCCUGCCCUUUGUACACACCGCCCGUCGCUCCUACCGAUUGAAUGGUCCGGUGAAGCCUCCGGAUUGGCGCGCACCUCGGUGCCGCCGAGAAGUUGGCUAAACCUUACCAUUUAGAGGAAGGUGAAGUCGUAACA